rnacentral:rRNA from 1 species
GAUGAACGCUGGCGGCGUGCCUAAUACAUGCAAGUCGAGCGAACAGACGAGGAGCUUGCUCCUCUGACGUUAGCGGCGGACGGGUGAGUAACACGUGGAUAACCUACCUAUAAGACUGGGAUAACUUCGGGAAACCGGAGCUAAUACCGGAUAAUAUAUUGAACCGCAUGGUUCAAUAGUGAAAGACGGUUUUGCUGUCACUUAUAGAUGGAUCCGCGCCGCAUUAGCUAGUUGGUAAGGUAACGGCUUACCAAGGCAACGAUGCGUAGCCGACCUGAGAGGGUGAUCGGCCACACUGGAACUGAAACACGGUCCAGACUCCUACGGGAGGCAGCAGUAGGGAAUCUUCCGCAAAGGGCGAAAGCCUGACGGAGCAACGCCGCGUGAGUGAUGAAGGUCUUCGGAUCGUAAAACUCUGUUAUUAGGGAAGAACAAAUGUGUAAGUAACUAUGCACGUCUUGACGGUACCUAAUCAGAAAGCCACGGCUAACUACGUG